rnacentral:rRNA from 1 species
AGUGGCGGACGGGUGAGUAACGCGUGGGUAACCUGCCGUAUACAGGGGGAUAACACUUAGAAAUAGGUGCUAAAACCGCAUAAGCGCACAGGAUCGCAUGGUCUGGUGUGAAAAACUCCGGUGGUAUACGAUGGACCCGCGUCUGAUUAGCUUGUUGGCGGGGUAGAGGCCCACCAAGGCGACGAUCAGUAGCCGGCCUGAGAGGGUGAACGGCCACAUUGGGACUGAGACACGGCCCAAACUCCUACGGGAGGCAGCAGUGGGGAAUAUUGCACAAUGGGGGAAACCCUGAUGCAGCGACGCCGCGUGAGUGAAGAAGUAUUUCGGUAUGUAAAGCUCUAUCAGCAGGAAAGAAAAUGACGGUACCUGACUAAGAAGCUCCGGCUAACUACGUGCCAGCAGCCGCGGUAAUACGUAGGGAGCGAGCGUUGUCCGGAAUUACUGGGUGUAAAGGGAGCGUAGGCGGGCUUGUAAGUUGAAUGUCUAAUCCACCGGCUCAACCGGUGAUCGCGUUCAAAACUGCAGGUCUUGAGUGAAGUAGAGGCAGGCGGAAUUCCUAGUGUAGCGGUGAAAUGCGUAGAUAUUAGGAGGAACACCAGUGGCGAAGGCGGCCUGCUGGGCUUUAACUGACGCUGAGGCUCGAAAGCGUGGGGAGCAAACAGGAUUAGAUACCCUGGUAGUCCACGCCGUANACGAUGAUUACUAGGUGUGGGGAGAUCANACUUUCCGUGCCGGAGUAAACACAAUAAGUAAUCCACCUGGGGAGUACGGCCGCAAGGUUGAAACUCA